rnacentral:piRNA from 1 species
UAUAUGUCUUAAGGAAGGAUGACGGUGU